GCUCUCUGGUGAUGUUUAGCACUGGGCUCAGAUCGUUGGUGGUGACUGAAGUGCAGCUCUGUCCCUGACAUGGCAGAGUCUGAGGAGAGG